rnacentral:rRNA from 1 species
UACGGGAGGCAGCAGUGGGGAAUAUUGCACAAUGGGCGAAAGCCUGAUGCAGCUAUGCCGCGUGUAUGAAGAAGGCCUUAGGGUUGUAAAGUACUUUCAUCGGGGAGGAAAAAACAAAACUAAUAAUUUUAUUUCUUGACGUUACCCGAAAAAGAAGCACCGGCUAACUCCGUGCCAGCAGCCGCGGUAAUACGGAGGGUGCUAGCGUUAAUCAGAAUUACUGGGCGUAAAGAGCACGUAGGUGGUUUUUUUAAAGUCAGAUGUGAAAUCCCUGGGCUUUAACCUAGGAACUGCAUUUUGAAACUGAAAUACUAGAGUAUCGUAGAGGGAGGUAGAAUUCUAGGUGUAGCGGUGAAAUGCGUAGAUAUCUGGAGGAAUACCUGUGGCGAAAGCGGCCUCCUAAACGAAUACUGACACUGAGGUGCGAAAGCGUGGGGAGCAAACAGGGAUUAGAACC